rnacentral:rRNA from 1 species
AACGAACGCUGGCGGCAGGCUUAACACAUGCAAGUCGAACGGGUGUAGCAAUACAUCAGUGGCAGACGGGUGAGUAACACGUGGGAACCUUCCUCGUUGUACGGAACAACUCAGGGAAACUUGAGCUAAUACCGUAUACGUCCGAGAGGAGAAAGAUUUAUCGCAAUGAGACGGGCACGCGUCGGAUUAGCUAGUUGGUAGGGUAAUGGCUCACCAAGGCGACGAUCGUUAACUGGUCUGAGAGGAUGAUCAGUCACACUGGAACUGAGGCACGGUCCAGACUCCGACGGGAGGCAGCAGUGGGGAAUAUUGGACAAUGGGCGAAAGCCUGACCCAGCCAUGCCGCGUGUGUGAAGAAGGUCUUCGGAUUGUAAAGCACUUUAAGUUGGGAGGAAGGGCAGUAAGUUAAUACCUUGCUGUUUUGACGUUACCGACAGAAUAAGCACCGGCUAACUUCGUGCCAGCCGCCGCGGUAAUAC